UUUCCUUUUCUAGGUAAUACAGAUGCGAAAGGCAUGUAGCCUCCCACACCUCUUUCCUAGAAUUGAGCCCAAACCAUUUAUAGAAGGCGAACAGCUGAUUCAGGCUAGCAGUAAACUUGUAAUUUUGGACCAACUACUUAGAAACUUGUAUGCUUCUGGGCAUUGUGUUCUUCUCUUUGCUUAGAUGAAGCAUACACUAGAUAUUUUACAGGUUUGCUUUUCGAAUGUUAAUAAUGUUAAAGGUUUAUGUGUUCAGCUUGAGUGCUGAAUGUUGAUUUUGACAACUAUAGGCACUGCUUUUCACAUGCAAUGUAUGAUUUUUUAGAGUUAUGAAAAUAUUCCUAUUAGCGUCUUGAUGGAUCAAUUCAGCCUGAGGAGCGUUUAGCUGCUGCUAUAAGAAAUUUCAGUGCUUCAUCAUCUACGGGGAGACUCAAUUAUGAAGCUGAUGGAAAUAAUGUUUUUGUUUUUCUGAUCUCUGCAAGAGCUGGGGGAGUUGGUUUGAAUCUCGUUUUUUAGUCUCUUUACAAGAAGCUAAAGCUUCAGUUGGAAGCAUAAGUGUCCUUCAAGUCAUAUAUAUAUCCAUGAGACAUGUGCGCUUAUUUUUUUGUGAGCUGAAACUAAAAAUAUGUAUUAUGGGAUUAUGUACUUUAUGUGCCACAUUUUUUACGUCAUGGAUCUAGAAAUAGUUUGUUUCUUGAUCUCCUACACACAUUAUCACUAAACAUCAACCAUUUGAUUGCUAUGCAUAGAGAGGAUGGUGAUGAGGGUAGUAUAAACAAUGCUUUUCAAUUAGUGGCUUUUGCUAUUGUGCAAUCAUAUAAUCUUAGGCGUGAAGUCCCUAGGAGUCGUAUAUCUAUUCCUGAACUGAAAUGUUGUUUAUCAAAGGCGUCAUUCUCAGAAUUCUGGUUAGUCAUUCUGCUCCUGGUUAAGUUUGACUUGAAUUAGAUAUGUUUUAAUUUAUAUUGAAGACUGAUUAGGUGGCCUAGUUGCUUCAUGUUUGAAGAAUCAAACUAUAGUCUUCUUUUUAAUAUUUUGUCUUAAUGCUGCAUUUUCAUAGAUUAUUGAUUCUCACUGGAUGACAUUGCUUCAUUUUGGACAUUAUAUUAUUUCAAGAUACCUCAUUUCUUUUUAGGCCUAUUUUAGUAAUUUUAUGACUGCUUUUAAAGAAUUUCUUUUUACCUUAACAAGUAAUUGAGAACAUGAUCUCUUAUCUCACUAGACUUGAUAUGUGAUUUGUCUUUUCUUCUACAUUAAAUUGUUUAUUUAAUGUUUGUAAGAGGGGCUUCUUCUAUCAUCUCAGGCUGUGUAAAAGUACGUACUAUUGGAAGCAUACAUCUUCUGGUGCAUUUUAAUUUUUCAAACAUAGGGCAAGAGAUGGUUUAGUUAUAGAAACAAGAUAGACUCACCAGUCAGGCUGUUGAUACUGAAGUAGCUAUAGACUUUAGAGAACUUUGCUUGAUUUAGAGAGUCCAAUUAUUUGUUAUCAGAAUUUUAAGUUGCGAAAUUAUUUUUCUUAAGUGCCUCACUCCUUUAUUAUUUAACUCUUGGCAGUCUUAUGUCUUGAAUUAUCAUCCUUUUAAACCUAGGAUUGAUAUGAGUGUUGGGAUGAUAGCAAAACAAUAGUUCAAAUUUGAAGUUUAUAUAAGAGCAUCUUCAAAAGGGCGGCCAUUUACUAUUAGGGAGGUCAUUGCUUCAUACAUUGGCCAGCGCUUAAGGAUAUCUCGCAUUAUAAUUCCGUUGUUUAGAUGUUAAGCCACUUCUGUAGGUAGCAGUAUAUACAUGUGAAGUUUGUGGUUGAAAUCUACUAGGUACCUUCAAGUGAUGUUGUUGAAUUACCAGGAAUCUUUCUUCCUAUCCCUUACUCUGGUUAUAGCAGUUUUUGCUAGCUUAGCUAUAAAUACGUACUUAGAGGCCAUGUGUGUGACUUAUUUCAAGAAAAUUAUGAUGAGUAACCCAUCUCUAGUACUUAAUUACCAUUAGUGAGCAAUUUCAUGCAUCACAAAUAGUUUCAUUGUUUUCAAUUUUGAACAGUUUGUGAAAAAAAAAUGCUAAUUUCCUAAAUUUCAUUUGGAGAAAAUGAAACCUUGUAUUGUAGUCAAGUAUCUAACAAGAAGGUGCUUUUUGUUCGGUCAGUAGUUGGGAUUCUGAAAAGAAGUAAAGAAUCAUUCUGUUGAUCUGCUCAAUUGUACUGUAGGUAUGAACUCAAAGGAGAUGAGAAAGAACAGAUUGCUUGUUUAGCAUAGGAUGGUGAUCUACAAUAAGUUGGCAUUAUCAUUGGCUCCUGAAAUGUUAGGGACUUGAAGAUAAUAAAGAAGCUCUACUUCACCUUGUGGGUGUUCCGUCCUGGAAGUUGAAGGUUGGGGAUGUAGGUAGAAUUAAUCUAGUGAUAUAAGAACACUUGUGGAGAGAUUGAUUUUGCUCAUCACUACAACAGGUGUAAAGUCCAACUAGAACUCUGGAAUGAUUUUGGGAUACUUAGUGAUACAUAGUUUCAUUUUUUUUGUAAGAAGAUAUGGAAUUAUAGUAGUAAAUAAAUUAGGAUGAAGUUCCAUAAGUAGACUAGCAAGGCAUAAUGAAAGCUGAAACCUAAUGGGGAUUUAAGUAUCCUACACGGUAAUUGUAUGUCUUCAGCUUGAUUGCUGAAGCUAUUUGAUUUUGGCAAGUAGAGUUACUGCUUCUCAUAUGCAAUGAAGGAUUUUUUGGAGUUGUGACAAGAUUCCUUUGGGUGUUUGCAUGGAUCAGUUAAGGUUGAGAAGCGUUUUGUUCCUCAUAAGAAAUUUCAGUGCACCAUCAACUAUAGGGAGAUUCAAUUUUUAAGCUGAUGGAAAUGAUGCUUUUUGAAAUCAUUUUUUUGUUUUUGGGCUCCAAUGUUGUAGGAAACAUAAACUUCUCUCCUUUCUAAUUUUAAAUGACAUUUUACUAAUUCUAAUUUUUUUUUUUCAGGUCAUUUUCUAUGAGCAAGAUUGGAAACCCCAGGCUGACUGACAAGCUCUGUAGUGGGCACAGUAGAUUUAUCUUUUUGGACACUUGCAGAGGAGACUAUUCUAUUUCUAAGAAGUUGGGUGGACUCAUGCUAAUCUUGUUUUCUCAUUCUUGAAGAGGCUAAUGGUGAAGCUGAAAUUGUGGACCAACUAUUUCAAAAGUUAUAUGUUUCUAGGCAUCGUGUUCUCGUUGCUCAAAGGACUCAUAUGCUUGAUAUUUUAAGG